UGCUGUGUUUUUUUAACUUUGAAUAUGUUUUGAUGGAUUUUAACUGUGAACUUUUUAGUGCUGUUUGUGUUGAAUUCUGUUUUGUUGUUUGCAUAUUUGUAUAUUUUAAAUUGUAUAGUAAUGCUUUUAGUUACCUCCAUUUCUAAGCCAAAGAGCCGGUGUUGUCCGUAGACACCUCCAAUUUCAUGUGACCAGCAUGACUGCAUGGAGCACCGUUACCUUCCCACCAAGGUGUUACCUACUGAUCUGCUCACAUUUGCAUAUUUUUCAACUGCUAGGUUGGCAGAAGCUGGGCCUAACAGCGGGAGCUUGCCCCGCUGCCCGGAUUCAAACUGCCGGCCUUUCAGUCAGCAAGUUCAGCAGCUCAGCAGUUUUACCCUCUGUGCCACUGGGGGAAAUAAAGCAGGGUAUAAAUAACUAAAUACUAAUACUAAUACUAAUACUAAUAAUAAUAAUAAUAAUAAUAUGCCUAGAUAAAGACCUUUAUAGCUAUGAAUAAGGUGUUAUGUAUAAAUAGCAACAGAAAUGCAAAAUAUGUGGGAAUGGUAAUGAAUUUUAAUUAUGAUAAUUAAGGGACAAAGGCAGGAAGAAGCAUGUUGCCUAAAACCAAGGCGAAUAGAUACCUAUAUGAAUGAUGGAGGGAGAUAUUGGGAUGCAAAGUGAUGCUGGCUAGGAUCCAGAAAGGAGAUAUGAGUAACUGAUCAAGAGAGCUGCCAUGACAUUUGGAGUGUUAGUUAGUGUUGUGAUAUAUGUAGUGCAUCAGGAAAUGGUUGUCUCUAUUCAACCCACAAGGACUGUUAUUCAACUCUAAGGAUGGCUGUUUUGGUCCUCGGAAUAGCAUUCUUUGAUUUAAGAAAACUUCAAAGGAAGAUAGGAAAGAGAAAUAGUAGAAUUGAUAUACAGUGUUCCCUCAUUACUUCGCAGUUCGCUUUUUGCGGAUUUGCUGUUUUGCGGUUUUUCAAUAUACUCUAAAAGAAUAUUAUAAAUCAUAAAAAACUACAAUUUACAGCCUAAGGAAGGGAGGAAAGAGAAGCCGAAGGAAGAGAAAAGGAGCCCAAGCGGCAACGGGAGGAGAAGGAGGUGAUUUAUCAACACACGAUUGGUUGAUAAAGACUUCAAAUAGUGUAUAACUACUAAAAUAAUGUAUAAAUAUAUAGCGUCCCUACUUUGCAGAUUUUCACUUAUUAUGGGUGGUCCUGGAACGUAAGUCUCGCGAUAAGUGAGGGAGCACUGUAUAUAUACACAAACUCCAAUCCAUUGAUGAUGUGUUGAACCUAGACAAUGAUUUUCUGACAUCCUCUCAGGCCCCAUCUCUACUGCCAUAUAACCCAGUUUCUGAAUCCAAAUUAUCUGCUUUGAACUGGAUUAUAUGGCAGUGUGGACUCAUACUCCAGUCCAAAGCAGAUAAUCUAGAUUCGGAAAACUGUAUUAUAUGGUGGUGUAGAUUCAGCCUCCAUUGAUGGCAGUGAUGACAGUGGUGGGAUAUAAACAGAGAUCCUCACAUUUGGAGGAGGCAGCAAUGGGCUGUAAAUUUGAAUCCUCACAAACUGCUCAAUCCAGGAGACAAUGAAUUCUUCACAAUUACUUUCUUUUCCUGAAAUAGAAAUAAUUUAUUCCAAUGUCUGUCUCUUUCAGGUGAAAUCCAGUGUGGGAAUGAACAUUGUAAGCGCUAUAAUGGCACUAACAGGCAGCCUUUUACUGCUCGUAGAUCUGCUUAUGGUUAAUCUCUCUUCUUAUUCAUACGACCAUGACCAUUACUAUGAAUGUUACUUGGGAAGAACUAUAUUAACUGGGUCCUCUGCCGUGCUCCUUUUGUUCUCAUUCCUGGAGUUUGGCAUCACUAUUUCAACAGCCCAUUUUGGAUGCCAGGCAGCUUGCUGUCCCAGCAAUCAGCAGCCAAUGGUUUUUGUACCCUACACUGUCAGUGGAGGUGUGGUGGCUCCUGGAGAAGGCCACCACCCUCCUCCUCCAGCCUAUAAUCCCGAAGACCCAUCUCCCAAAUGAGAAUAAAGAACACAAAGGAAACCAGCUAUGCCAGAAGUUGAAAAACCGUGGAUUCCCUUCUAGCUCCUUCCAUGCACUAUGCCCAUUGAAGGUGACAGAGAUGUCCUCCUUAUCUCCCACAUUAGAUAGAAUGCCUAUUCUAUUAAUGUGGUUGCACAUUUCUCAAUUUUUAAAUUAAUCUGGGGGGGGGGGGUGCAAUAUUUCUUUGAGUUUGUGUAAGAGUUUGUGAUUGCUUUCCUCUGAGGUCGAGAGAAUGGAACUUACCCAGGGUCAACCAAUGAGUUUUCAUGGUUGAGCAGAGACCUGAACCUACACUGUUUUCUUGUGAUCAUUUUCCUUGAAUUUGAUUUGGUGAGAUGUAGGAUAGGAGGGAAUAAAAGCAUAGUUGAAGAAGAAAGGAAAAUGAAAUUGUAUUAAGAUCACAUUGAUCAAUAAUCGUUCAUGUACUAACCAUGCAAUGUAACUGAUUUGUCCAAAAAAGAUAGCUUUGAUUCCAAAAAACAUGAAAUGGAAUCCCUUUCUUUGUCUGAUUUUACUGAAAUACCAAUUCAGUGGGAAAUGGGUAAUUCAUUUUGUUUGUACAUUAACAUAUAUUCUUUGUAAAUCUUUCUCAGCUUGUUUCCAUGUAAAACUGCAUAUAAUAAUAAUAAUGAAUAAUAAUGACUUUAUUCUUAUAUUCUGCCCCAUCUCCCCAAAGGGACUCGGGCCAGCUUACAUGGGGACCAAGCCCAGUAGAAAAAAAAUAAAAUACAUCACCAUAAAAUAAAUUUUCAUUACAAGGCAUUAACCACAUAAAAACAUGUAAAAACGUCAUAUAAACACCGAGAAGGCCCUCUCCCUCGUCCCCACCAACCACACUUGUGACGGAGGUGAUAAUGAGAGAAGGUCCUCCCCAACAGAGGUUUGAGCAGGUUCAAAAGAUGUGAUCGCAAAGUUAAGCUGGACCCAAACAACACAAAAUGAGUAGUUUGCACAAAAAUAAAAUUGCAUUUAAAAAGAAAUAAACAUUUUUAAAAUUUGUUUUGUCUCAAAAAUUGAAUUAUUUCUGUACACUUACAUGAUGUGCAAAACUGAGCGAAUAAAGAUACUUUUGUUGAUCUUGACAUCUUUAUACAUGGCAGUGGCUUAACAAGGAGGAAUGACCAUUCUAGAAUCUGAUUGUUAAACAAAAGGGUGGGGGGCAAAUAUUUUUAUUAUUUAAAUAAAAGCACUCCCUAAAUUUAUUUGAAGAAACCCCUAGAGCUGACUUCCCUAUUUAUAGGCUGGCUCUGGCAACAAUUCUGGAAAGACUAUGCGCUGUCAGUUUCUCUCCAGCAAGAAAGGAAAAAGCAAUUCUAGUAGUAAAUGAAUAUCCAAUGUUAUUUAUUAUUAGGCAUUCAAAUGCAGUUUAUAAUCAAAUGAAAAUCAAUAACAAUCAAACAAUACAAUAAGAAAUAAAGACAGUUUUUUUUAAAAAAAAUCUCCAAUACUUGAUCUUCCCUCUAUUUUAUAGUUUUUUAAAUGAGAUAUCAAAACAAAUCAAGAAAAAAAAAAACAAUGUUCAACGUAUUUGUCUACAUUUCUUAUGAUAAUCCAUUAAUCUCAAUUUUGCCUGGGGACAGUUCUGAGAUGUGCUG